AGUGAACGCUGGCGGUAGGCCUAACACAUGCAAGUCGAACGGCAGCACAGUAAGAGCUUGCUCUUACGGGUGGCGAGUGGCGGACGGGUGAGGAAUACAUCGGAAUCUACUUUUUCGUGGGGGAUAACGUAGGGAAACUUACGCUAAUACCGCAUACGACCUACGGGUGAAAGCAGGGGAUCUUCGGACCUUGCGCGAUUGAAUGAGCCGAUGUCGGAUUAGCUAGUUGGCGGGGUAAAGGCCCACCAAGGCGACGAUCCGUAGCUGGUCUGAGAGGAUGAUCAGCCACACUGGAACUGAGACACGGUCCAGAGUCCUACGGGAGGCAGCAGUGGGGAAUAUUGGACAAUGGGCGCAAGCCUGAUCCAGACAUACCGCGUGGGUGAAGAAGGCCUUCGGGUUGUAAAGCCCUUUUGUUGGGAAAGAAAAGCAGCAGGUUAAUACCCCGCUGUUCUGACGGUACCCAAAGAAUAAGCACCGGCUAACUUCGUG
rnacentral:rRNA from 1 species